UACGGGGGGGGCAAGCGUUGUUCGGAAUUACUGGGCGUAAAGGGCUCGUAGGCGGCCAACUAAGUCAGACGUGAAAUCCCUCGGCUUAACCGGGGAACUGCAUCUGAUACUGGAUGGCUUGAGUUCGGGAGAGGGAUGCGGAAUUCCAGGUGUAGCGGUGAAAUGCGUAGAUAUCGCUUGGAACGCCAACGGUGAAAACAGGUUGCUGGGGGUGUGCUGACGCUGAGACACGAAAGCCAGGGGAGCGAACGGG
rnacentral:rRNA from 1 species